rnacentral:rRNA from 1 species
AUACGGAGGAUGCGAGCGUUAUCCGGAUUUAUUGGGUUUAAAGGGAGCGUAGGCGGGAGCUUAAGUCAGCGGUUAAAUGGUGCGGCUCAACCGUGCCCUGCCGUUGAAACUGGGUUUCUUGAGAGUGCAAGAGGCGGAUGGAAUUCAUGGUGUAGCGGUGAAAUGCUUAGAUAUCAUGAAGAACUCCGAUUGCGAAGGCAGUCCGCUGAGGCACGUCUGACGCUGAUGCUCGAAGGUGCGGGAAUCAAACAGGAUUAGAUACCCUGGUAGUCCGCACGGUAAACGAUGAUUACCCGCUGUCGGCGGUAGACAGUCGGCGGCCAAGCGAAAGCGAUAAGUAAUCCACCUGGGGAGUACGCCGGCAACGGUGAAACUCAAAGGAAUUGACGGGG